CAACAUUAACCUGCUCUGGAUUAAUUACGUGAACGUGAGUAUCCAAUCCGCCGGCAGUAAGGAUUUUUCCUUCCCCAGAAAUAACAUCUGUUGAAGCGCCAAUGGGAAUAGUCACACCAUCCUGGAUAUUGUCAUUUCCAGCUUUUCCUAUGCUGGAAAUUUUACCAUCACGAAUACCAAUAUCGGCUUUAAAAACACCAGUGUGGUCUAAAACUAAAGCGUUUGUAAUAAUUGUAUCUGGUACAUCCGGAUUGUUUUCACGACUUAUCCUAGAGUUUUGUCCCAUACCAUCG
rnacentral:sRNA from 1 species